GCCGUGGUAGUCUAGUGGUUAGGACUUCUCGUUGUGGCCGAGACAGCCCAGGUUCGAAUCCUGGUCACGGCA